rnacentral:misc_RNA from 1 species
AAAGUCGUAACAAGGUUUCCGUAGGUGAACCUGCGGAAGGAUCAUUAACAAAUUCCAAAACUCGUGUUUGGUCAAGUGACAACUUCAUGUUGCAGAGUGUCCCCACGUUGGGCCAUUCGGACAAGUUGAGGUUCUUGAUCAUAUUACAACACAAAACAAUCACAUUUAAACUGACAACCAAGAGUUAACCAAUACGUUAAAUCGAAACAACUUUUAACAAUGGAUCUCUCGGCUCUU